rnacentral:rRNA from 1 species
UACGGGGGGGGCUAGCGUUGUUCGGAAUUACUGGGCGUAAAGGGCUCGUAGGCGGCCAACUAAGUCAGACGUGAAAUCCCUCGGCUUAACCGGGGAACUGCGUCUGAUACUGGAUGGCUUGAGGUUGGGAGAGGGAUGCGGAAUUCCAGGUGUAGCGGUGAAAUGCGUAGAUAUCUGGAGGAACACCGGUGGCGAAGGCGGCAUCCUGGACCAAUUCUGACGCUGAGGAGCGAAAGCCAGGGGAGCAAACGGG